rnacentral:rRNA from 1 species
AGAGUUUGAUCAUGGCUCAGGACGAACGCUGGCGGCGUGCCUAAUACAUGCAAGUCGAGCGAGCGGAACUAACAGAUUUACUUCUGUAAUGACGUUAGGAAAGCGAGCGGCGGAUGGGUGAGUAACACGUGGGGAACCUGCCCCAUGGUCUGGGAUACCACUUGGAAACAGGUGCUAAUACCGGAUAAGAAAGCAGAUCGCAUGAUCAGCUUUUAAAAGGCGGCGUAAGCUGUCGCUAUGGGAUGGCCCCGCGGUGCAUUAGCUAGUUGGUAAGGUAAAGGCUUACCAAGGCGAUGAUGCAUAGCCGAGUUGAGAGACUGAUCGGCCACAUUGGGACUGAGACACGGCCCAAACUCCUACGGGAGGCAGCAGUAGGGAAUCUUCCACAAUGGACGCAAGUCUGAUGGAGCAACGCCGCGUGAGUGAAGAAGGUUUUCGGAUCGUAAAGCUCUGUUGUUGGUGAAGAAGGAUAGAGGUAGUAACUGGCCUUUAUUUGACGGUAAUCAACCAGAAAGUCACGGCUAACUACGUGCCAGCAGCCGCGGUAAUACGUAGGUGGCAAGCGUUGUCCGGAUUUAUUGGGCGUAAAGCGAGCGCAGGCGGAAGAAUAAGUCUGAUGUGAAAGCCCUCGGCUUAACCGAGGAACUGCAUCGGAAACUGUUUUUCUUGAGUGCAGAAGAGGAGAGUGGAACUCCAUGUGUAGCGGUGGAAUGCGUAGAUAUAUGGAAGAACACCAGUGGCGAAGGCGGCUCUCUGGUCUGCAACUGACGCUGAGGCUCGAAAGCAUGGGUAGCGAACAGGAUUAGAUACCCUGGUAGUCCAUGCCGUAAACGAUGAGUGCUAAGUGUUGGGAGGUUUCCGCCUCUCAGUGCUGCAGCUAACGCAUUAAGCACUCCGCCUGGGGAGUACGACCGCAAGGUUGAAACUCAAAGGAAUUGACGGGGGCCCGCACAAGCGGUGGAGCAUGUGGUUUAAUUCGAAGCAACGCGAAGAACCUUACCAGGUCUUGACAUCUAGUGCCAUUUGUAGAGAUACAAAGUUCCCUUCGGGGACGCUAAGACAGGUGGUGCAUGGCUGUCGUCAGCUCGUGUCGUGAGAUGUUGGGUUAAGUCCCGCAACGAGCGCAACCCUUGUUAUUAGUUGCCAGCAUUAAGUUGGGCACUCUAAUGAGACUGCCGGUGACAAACCGGAGGAAGGUGGGGAUGACGUCAAGUCAUCAUGCCCCUUAUGACCUGGGCUACACACGUGCUACAAUGGGCAGUACAACGAGAAGCGAGCCUGCGAAGGCAAGCGAAUCUCUGAAAGCUGUUCUCAGUUCGGACUGCAGUCUGCAACUCGACUGCACGAAGCUGGAAUCGCUAGUAAUCGCGGAUCAGCACGCCGCGGUGAAUACGUUCCCGGGCCUUGUACACACCGCCCGUCACACCAUGGGAGUCUGCAAUGCCCAAAGCCGGUGGCCUAACCUUCGGGAAGGAGCCGUCUAAGGCAGGGCAGAUGACUGGGGUGAAGUCGUAACAAGGUAGCCGUAGGAGAACCUGCGGCUGGAUCACCUCCUU